rnacentral:misc_RNA from 1 species
UCCGGUUUGGCACCGGCAGUCUCCCUAGAGUUCCCGGCUUUACCCGCUGGCAACUAAGGACAAGGGUUGCGCUCGUUGCGGGACUUAACCCAACAUCUCACGACACGAGCUGACGACAGCCAUGCACCACCUGUGCAUAGGCCCCGAAGGGCUGCCGUGUUUCCACGACAUUCCUAUGCAUGUCAAGCCUAGGUAAGGUUCUUCGCGUUGCGUCGAAUUAAACCACAUGCUCCGCUGCUUGUGCGGGCCCCCGUCAAUUCCUUUGAGUUUCAACCUUGCGGUCGUACUCCCCAGGCGGGGUACUUCCUGCGUUAGCGCCGGCACCCAGAGGGUCGCUCCCCCAACACCUAGUACUCAUCGUUUACGGCGUGGACUAC